CCAUCAGAAUUAAUUUCAUAAACAAAUAAAUACACGAUACCAUAAACAAAUAAAUACACGAUACCAGUACAUUAUCACGUAAGGACUGAAAACUAUAUCAGUACCUUAUGCAUAAAUGUGUUGACUUUUAAUGUCUGUCAAACUCUAAACUGGUUAUCAUUUCCUGAUUAUUUAGAGUCAAAGCAAUCAGAUUUAGGGACAACAAUAUCAAGUAACUGCAAGAAAACUAACUAUUGAGGUAAAUGUAAAAUUCACCUAACCAUCCAUAAUCCAAACAACAAAACAGAUAAUGGAAUUAACAGUUGUCCAAUCCUAAACAUCCCAAAAACCUUUAAAAAUAACAAAGGGGAAUAGAGAGGCUGCU
rnacentral:lncRNA from 1 species